UACGUAGGGGGGCAAGCGUUGUCCGGAAUCAUUGGGCGUAAAGCGCGCGUAGGCGGCCCGGUAAGUCCGUUGUGAAAGUCAAAGGCUCAACCUUUGAACGCCGAUGGAUACUGCCGGGCUAGAGUCCGGAAGAGGCGAGUGGAAUUCCUGGUGUAGCGGUGGAAUGCGCAGAUAUCAGGAGGAACACCGAUGGCGAAGGCAGCUCGCUGGGACGGUACUGACGCUGAGACGCGAAAGCGUGGGGAGCAAACAGG
rnacentral:rRNA from 1 species